UACGUAGGGUGCAAGCGUUGUCCGGAAUUAUUGGGCGUAAAGAGCUCGUAGGCGGUCUGUCGCGUCUGUUGUGAAAACUCGAGGCUCAACCUCGGGCUUGCAGUGGAUACGGGCAGACUAGAGUGCGGUAGGGGAGACUGGAAUUCCUGGUGUAGCGGUGGAAUGCGCAGAUAUCAGGAGGAACACCGAUGGCGAAGGCAGGUCUCUGGGCCGCAACUGACGCUGAGGAGCGAAAGCAUGGGGAGCGAACAGG
rnacentral:rRNA from 1 species